GCCUCGAUAGCUCAGUUGGUAGAGCGCUUCCUUGGUAAGGCAGAGGUCAGGGGUUCAAAUCCCCUCCGAGGCUCCA
rnacentral:tRNA from 1 species